CCUACGGGUGGCUGCAGUGAGGAAUAUUGGUCAAUGGACGCAAGUCUGAACCAGCCAUGCCGCGUGCAGGAAGACGGCUCUCUGAUUUGUAAAUUGCUUUUGUACGAAGGUAAACGCUGAUAUGCGUAUCUGACUUGAAUUACCUUACCUAUAGGCAACGGCCAACUCCGUGCCAGACGCCCCGGUACUACGGUGGAGUCAAGCGAUAUCCGGAUUUAUUGGGCUUAACGGGUGCGUCGGCGGUCGCAUAAGUUAGAGGUGAAAUCCCUGGGCUGAACUUCGGAAUUGCCUCUGAUACUGGUCGGCUAGAGAAUAGUUGCGAUAGGCGGAAUGUAAGGUGUAGCGGUGAAAUGCGUAGAGAU
rnacentral:rRNA from 1 species